UAAAAAAUAAAGGCAUUGCCCUAGUUUUGAUGCCAGCUGCCUGGGGCAGGCAUGUGCAUCCACAUCAGUUUCCCCAGGCCAGUUGUGUGUUCAUUGUUCCUGAGUUCUGACACCUGGCACCCACUGCCAGUGGAUUGUUGCUGCUGGGGAGCUGCAGCCUCCAUCCUCACCCAUUGUGCGGGCACCACAUCAGAGCCACACUCCCAGCUUCUGUAGGGUGCAACUGCUUUCAGGAUGAUCCCAGGUUCUCCUGGUAUAAAGGGGACAUCUGGGGCCAGGACAAGAGGCUGGCUUGGCUUCCCUGGGCUCUCUUCAAUUACUCAGCUUGAAUGAGGUCAUCCAGUGGUUUAAUGAGAGUAAAACGGUUCGUCGGGAAUUUGCACUGAUGGCUGGCCAAUCCCAGAGGAGUCCUAGGAGACGUGUCCAAGCCAGGAAUGCCCCUCUCUCUUUGGAGUGCUCUGGGCCCAGGAGCUGAGCCACAGAGGGGGCCAGGGCAGCCAGUCCCCAGACAGAACCAGGCCCCCAGAGCUGCAGGCUGGCCUAGCCCUCCCGUUCUCCCUUCUGCCCAAAGCCAGGCCACUCUGUGCGCCAGGACUCAGGCAGCUUUUUGAUAGGAGGCUCCUCCAGAUCAUCUGGCCUGGGUGUCCAGACUGGCAGCGCCAACCCCUCCCCACCAUGCGCUCUCUUCCUGAGGACAGUGUAGAGAAGAGGAGCUUGCGGGGUCAGACCCAACACCCAGCCCAAGGACGUGGUGCCUUUGGUCCCGAGGAACGGGCCAUUCACUUAUGUUCUGCAGGCUCUAGCCAGUCAUGGUGCCUCGAUGCCAGGUGCCUUUGGGACUUGGGCCCAGCAGAGGGCGCUGUGGGACUACCAUGGGCCAGUCAUGGUGGGCCAUCCAGCUGAGAAAUCCCCGGACCAUGCCCAGAGCUGGCAGGUGGCCCUGGGCGUUCAUGGGUGUCUGCUUCCUGGUGGCCGUGCAUGCCCCGCCCCACCCACCAUGUACUUCAGACUUGGCCCAGAGAUACAUCCCAUUUGGAAAGCCAUUUGCAUGAAGCAGCCUGCGUCCCCAUGCCAGUGGGCAGUGAAGCAGUUAUAAACAGGAUUUGCACCAUCCCUGAGUUCCAGGCAACCCAACAUCUCCACCAUGGCCUGGACUUCUCUCCUUGUGCUCCUCACUCUCUGCAAAGGGGUCAGUUCUCAGGCUGUGGUGACUCAGGAGCCAUCUCUGACUGCGAUCCCAGGAGGAACAGUCACCCUGACAUGCAGCUCCAGCACAGGGGCCGUCACCUCUGGGCACUAUCCUGCAUGGAUCCAGCAGAAGUCUGGCCAAGCUCCCAGGGGCCUCAUCUAUCAUACAAGCAAUCUUGUAUCAGGUGUCCCUGCCCGGUUCUCAGGGUCCCUGCUUGGGGACAAAGCUGCCCUCACCAUCAAGGGGGCCCAGCCUGAGGACGAGGCUGAUUAUUACUGUGCCUUGUAUUAUAGUGGUUCUUCGCACAGUGAGAGACUCAGAUGAGGAACCGAGACAAAAACCUAUUAUAACCUAGCUUGGGUCCAGCUGCUGAAGGCAACAGGGAUGUCUGGGAUGCCCGGCUUCCUGGCCCAAGGGAUGUCUGCGCUCUCUCUAAGACCCCGCACAUAUUUCCUGGGCCAUGUCUAAGAAUGGGUCCCCAAGCCCCGCCCCAGCAGAGCAGGGCCUAUUCCACCCCCGAGCCUUCCAAAGGGUGUAUUUCUUGGUCUCCCUGCUUACUCAAGAAGGGAAAGGCUGUCAAUAUGGCCGCUGUAACACCUUCCAAAGCCUCUAGGGUGGUGUUGCUUUCUCCCUUCUCAUCCUGUACGGCAUGGACAUCUUUGAUUUGGGAGGGUUAGACGGCAGGUGAGUGCAUGACCGUUGCUUUCGAGGAGAGUGGUCAUCUUUGGGGUAGGGAGUGGGGAAAGAGAGGGGGCUGGUGAAGGGGCCCCCUCCUCCAUGAGAGAAGCAAACAGAAGGAAUCCUUGACAAGCAGGAGAACAGCUUGGAAAGUGACACUUUAUUCUAUACAAUAAAAGAAGAGUCAGCUGUAUUUAAUAGAGAUUGGAGGCUCAAUGUGUUCUCAUCUCCUCCUCCCUACUGCAGUGUAGAUGGAAAUGCUCCUUUUAUUUGAAGUUAGUUGGCUUCAGAUUUAAAAAAAAAUGAAAGUGAGAAAGCGCCUAAUCAAGUGUCCUGAAAAGUGAAGAAAUGCACAGUAGAAAACACACGCUCCAGUCACACGCAGUUAACCCAAGAAGCAAAGCUUUACUGAGGGGGCUAGACCCCAAUCUGGAGGGCAUGAAUAAUAGCUAAUUAUUGGACUUUUUAUGUACAACAGGAGUAUAAAUGCAUGAACUUUUUUUUCAGUGUAAGAAAAUUUGGAAUCAAAGCCAAUAAAACAAAGCAAACAUAGGCCCUAGUGGAAAUCCUGCCUAACGUGUCCUCUGACCCUGCCCCCAGCCUGGUCUGGGCCUCCAUCCUCUUAUACCUGGAUUAUGGCAAGAGCUCUGGAGGGUGCCUGCCUGUCUCAAGUCUCUCCCCACUCCAGUACUUCCUCCCAUCAGCCACUAAGUGGACCAUUUCCCUCCCCUGCUCAAUAACAACCUGUGGCUCCCUGUCACCUCCAACACCUAACACUAAACCCUCUGGCUUUCAGAACCCUUCAUCACCUCAUCCUUUCUGCACUUUCCGGUCUCCUUGUCCAUUGUUUCCUCUACACACUCAGGGAUUGAGUGCACUGGCCUUCUCGCUCUUCCAUCUCUCAAUUCUCUGACUCUUCACUGGCUCUCCCCCAGCCAGACUGCCCGGAACGCUCUCCCUUCCUUACUGCCACUACUUGGCUUUUUAGUCUCUCAUUGGCAAGUGGAUCUUCCCAGAGCCCCUCGUCUUCCCUCUGAGACCCCCUUCCCUUGACUUUGUGUCUGUCUCUUAGAUGGAGUGGGAGAGGCAGCCCCUCUGAUAGCUUCUCUCCUUGUGGAGAGCGUGCAAACACGCUUCCAGGAGAUUCCAUUUGGAGAAGACUCUCCUCGUGGGCUGAGAUGGAUGAGGCAGAAUUGGCAAGAACUUGGGAAGAGAGAGAUCCAGGUUCUCUGGCUUCCGUCUUUGAGAGAGCCGAUACCCAGAUCUCAAUCUCCUCAGGUCCCUGAAGGGAAAGAAAGACUAGAAAGGAGCCACCAGGUAAGAGCCAGCAACUUGAUCAGGCCCCUGUCUUUAGAACACUACGCGGGAGACCAGAACAUUUCUCCUUGGGCCAGAUCUGGGGGUCGGUCUCGGUCUCUGUCGGUCUCAGUCUCUGUCUCUGUCUCUGUCUCUGUCUCUGUCUCAGUCUCAGUCUCAGUCUCAGUCU